rnacentral:rRNA from 1 species
CACGUAGGGGCCAAGCGUUGUCCGGAUUCAUUGGGCGUAAAGAGCUCGUAGGCGGUUCAGUCAGUCGGGUGUGAAAUCUCCGGGCUCAACUCGGAGGGGCCACCCGAUACUGCUGUGACUCGAGUCCGGUAGGGGAGUGGGGAAUUCCUGGUGUAGCGGUGGAAUGCGCAGAUAUCAGGAGGAACACCGGUGGCGAAGGCGGGUCUCUGGGCAGUAACUGACGCUGAGGAGCGAAAGCGUGGGGAGCGAACAGG